GGGGGGGACACUCGUGGGAAAUGUGAUUUCCAUGCCCAAAGCCCAAGAAGACGCAGCACCUUCCCUGUCCAUGUCGAACGGGUUGACCUCGGUUUUUCUUGAUGUUCUGGUGCUUAGCGGUUCUCGAAUCGCGAAUACGGAUCGGGAGAAAGAACUGAUCAACCUGCUCUUUUAGCAGCCUAAGAAACUGCUGGAGUGCUUCUACCUUCCAUCGCCAAUGUGGCAGGAUAGGGGCUCAACCUAUAGUGGGAUACGCUGUCUAGUCUCCGUCUGCGGUGAGCUGAAGAAGACAACCAGGCUGACCCAACGUAGAGCCGGUUACGGGGCGUUGCUCGGGUGACUUUAAAACUGCAGCUACACUCGUAGAAGCUCUUGUGGCGUUAUCCUCGGACAGGGGUUCAAAUCCCCUCGCCUCCA
rnacentral:tmRNA from 1 species